AUGUACAUUCCUACAACAUUAAUGCAUCAGAUCCCAUCAAAACUCUGCAGUUAAUUGCGCUUGGGCUAGAGUAGUAUUGGGAUGGGUGGCCUCCUGGGAAGUCCUAGUGUUUUACAUG
rnacentral:rRNA from 1 species